UUCCUAGGAGAGAAAAAUCAUUUUGGCUUUGUGAAUUUAAAGGGGUUAAAAGCUAAACUUGAUCAUCAUUGUCAAUAAAAUGACUGAUGGCCAAAUGAGAUAGCUAUGUAAAAGAGAAAAGGAUACUACUGUAACCUAAGCAGGGUGACAAAACCCCAUUAAUAUACAAAUAGGCUUUAAAGCCAAAGGUUACACAGUGCAUAUAUAAUUGGAUUUAGACAAUCCCAUUUAAAAAGGGAUGAAGUGUAACCUAAAAGAAAAACUUAAGAAUACAUACUUUCUAGGAAAAGAACCAGGUUGCAAAAAACUGAAAAUUAAAUGUUCAGUUAAAUUUACCUGAGGGCUCAUAAAAUUCCUGUUCACAAUGGUAGGCAAGAGCCUAACUACAAGAAAGGGAAGAAGGCAGGCCUUCCUCAUGCACACUCUAGCCAGUAGGUUGACAUGAGUCCCUUGCUCUACCCUGAAUUUAUGCCAAAUACAUAAUCUAAGAUGCAGUAGACGGCUGGAAGGUGGAAAAUUCUACUCACCCUUUUUGAGAAUGGUUUAGGGAGGAAGAAAUGACAUGCUGAAGAGAUAAAUCUAACCUAUAAUAUGAAUGGUUUGUAUUAAAUGGUUUAAAGUUUGUAUUAAAUGGUUUAAAGUUAAAGACAGACUGUUGAACUGAGUAAAAACUGAAAUUUGUCUGCAUUUUGGGGGUUUUAUAAAGGAUAUGCAAAGUGUUUUUAAGGAAUCUGUUGUUUUCAUUAUCAUAAAGUUUUAGCAAGUUUAACAUUUAGAAGAACUCAGUUUGCUAAGUUUACGUCUAAUAAAUUUGACUUAUUAGAUUUAUAAAAUUUACCUAGUUGUUUGAUAGUUGUUUUAGAUCUAAAAUGUGCCCCCAAAAGUCUCGUGUUCAGAGGUGAGGCUUUUACAAAGUGAUUUCAUAGUGGGGGUGUUACAUCCAUGCGUGGCCUAGUCCAAUGGUAAGUUUAUAAAUGACUGCUGUUCAGAGGUGGGGGUCUUGGGGGGCAUAACCCACAAGGGUGAUUUCUUGUUCUAGCUCUUCCUCUUGCUGCUGAAGCUGCCAUGAAGUGAACAUCAUUACUCUGCUUUGCCUUUCCACCACACUGUUCUGGCAUGGACUCAAUUCACUGAAAACGCACUCCAUAAGAAAACAAGAUCUUCAGAGUUUUGUUUUUUUCAACUAUGCAUGUGUCAGUGUGAAAAUAUAACAGUUUUUACCCACAAACUGGGAAAAGAUUUUAGUGAACUCUCUCUCAGACAAGGGCCUCUUGUCUAAAACAUACAAAGAAUUAAAGAAACUCAGACCUCCGAAAUUCAAAGAUCCAAUCCAAAAAUGGGCAUCUGAGAUGAAUAUGCAAUUCUCAGAUGAAGAAAUGCAAAUGGCAAAUAAAUACAUGAAAAAAUGCUCAUCAUCAUUGGUCAUUAGAGAAAUGCAAAUUAAAACCACACUGAGAUACCAUCUCACUCCUGAAAGAAUGGCCAGGAUCAAGAAAACCGACAACAAAUGCUGGAGAGGCUGUGGGGAAAAAGGAACUCUCCUGCACUGCUGGUGGGAGUGUAGACUGGUACAGCCUUUGUGGAGAUCUGUCUGGAGCUUUCUCAAAAAGUUGGGACUGGAAAUCCCAUUUAUUCCAGCUAUUCCACUUCUAGGCAUAUUCCCAGAAGAACUGAAAGCAUCAUACCACAUAUGUGCACCUAUGUUUAUAGCAGCACAAUUUGUAAUCGCCAGAUCUUGGAAACAACCCAAGUGCCCAUCAACUGAGGAAUGGAUAAAAAAGUUGUGGUAUUUCUAUACAAUGGAGUAUUAUUCAGCUAUAAAGAAGGAUCACAUUGAGAUAUUUAUCAAUAAAUGGGCACAGCUUGAGACCAUACUCAUAAGUGAAAUAAAUCAAUCUCGCAUGUGUGAAUACCGAAUAGUUUCCCUAAUGGAUUGGAUUCAUAUGACCUUGCACUUGCCAGACAGGUGCUUACUCCUCUGAGCUAAAUCCUGAUCCCAGGAGCUAAUUAAUUUUUGAUAUACCCAUAAUACUACUUCAGAACCAACUUUAUGACUGAUGAAAUUGUUAAAUGAAGGAUACCCAAAUUAAAAGAAGAAAGAAGUACAAAAUAAUGUGAAUAAUGUUAGUAUUUGUCUACAAAGUAUCUCUGGAUGGAAACUCAAGAAAAUAAUUAAACUAGGGGGCAGCCAGAUAUAGAAGGUGAGGGUAUCUCAAUAUAUAUUAAUCAUACUUUAAAAAUUUCAAACCAUUAAUAUAUAUAGUCUACAUAAAAUUUUAAUCAAAAGAGAAGUUAUAGUUGGCUUUGUUAGGUUUGGCUAAAAGGAGGCAAAACUGAAAAACUAGAAGUCAGGAGGCAGAGAGAAAUACAGGUUACUGUCCUUUGCUCUCGGUUUAAGGAUCCCCUAUAACAGUUAUAUCUCUUCAGAAAUUCCCUUUCACAUUAUCAGUGCUGCUUCCCCUCAUCAGCUAUCACCGGUCUCUGGGCUCUAAUAAUUCCCCUGCUUUGUCUUCCUUUUCCAGAGCUAAUAACUUGCUAUAGUUGUUUGUAUCUUGGAUCAUUACCCUCUGUUUCUAGAUCUUUAGUAAUCUUUUAAUAAUCUUUAAUAAUCUUUGAAAGUGGUCCUAAAAUAAAAUUCCCUCUAAUAAAUUAUCUAGCAUGGCUUACAUUUUCCUAAUUAGAUCUUAUCAAAAAGAAAAAAAGUGACUGUAUUAAAGGUUAUUUCUAUAGAACACGAAGGAUCCAAUUCCUAAAAUUAGAAAGGAUAAUUUUUCAGUGUCAAGGUUUAAGAACACUGUGGCCUAUACACUUCAACAAACUAAGUUUCAAACAUAUGUAUGUGUGUGUGUGUCUCAUUUGUUCAUUUUUCUUUCUUCAUGUCACACUGGAAACUGACAGUAUGUCAUGGUCUACUUCUAUGAAUUAAAAAUGUUAGUGGAAAAGAAGCAGAAAUUAAAAGGAUCAGAUAUAUAGUUUCGGUGAGCUGACAAUACAGAAUAAGUCAUUCAAAUAUCAGAAAAAUUCAAAUAUGAAUUUAUACUAUGAUCAAUACUUUGUCUAAUAAGUUGAUCAUUCUAGUAUAGAGUUUACUACUUUUUCAAUUCAAUUUUUGUGCAUUCAUGCUGACCAAGAAAAUUACCAAACUUUCUUUAGUUAUAUUAAAAAAAUGAAUAUUAUUUUUUAGGUAAAUAUAUCCCUCUGAAUUCUGACAUAUACUAAUGUGGCUGAAAACUUGAGUAUAUCUCAUUAUUAUAUCACUUUCCAUCCUCACCAAAACAAAAGUAUCAAUGGACUAUUCCUCUUUUUGCCCAUAAAACUACUUUAUCAAAUUAACACAAGAUACAAUAAAUACCAGAAGUACAGAGAUAAAGAUGCUAUCAUAACUUACACUACAUGAAAUUGUUUCUAACUACAUGAAUUAUUUCCUACUAAAACCAACAUAAACAAAAAGUAGACAGGUUUGUCUAAUACUAACUUUAUUGGGCUGGGGAAGUAGCUCAGUGGUAAAACACUUGCCCUAAUAUUGACAUUAGCUACAACAAAUUAUGGAAACAAAACAUUCUAAUAUAAUGGUAAAGAACAAAACAGUGUUGAUGAGAUUUAGCAAGACAAUGGAAUUACGGCAAACAAUUACCCCCAAAAAGAACAUCUCUCUCUUUGCAAAGAGAGAAGAUAAAAAGAUACAAGAGUAGGCUGUAUUUCUUUCUAAAAUGAGUUAAGGCCACCUGCUAUGAAUGACUAGUAAAGAUAAUGGAUUUGAAACUAGAAAAGAUAUUAAGGGCUGGUCAACAGAGUCAAAAAAAAAAAAAAAAAAAAAAAAAACCACAGUAAGAAUGCCAUAUAUAGUAUUGUGGAGAUAGGACAUACUGAUGUGGACUCCCCUCAGUUUACCCGUAAGCCAUUCUUCCUUUGACUUCUAGCCUGUUUCCUACACUGGUUCAAGCCCAGAUAUAUAAAUGCAACCAAAUAAAAUUUGGUUGUAAGAGCAGAAAAUGAAGUUAGGCACAAAUGCUUUGUUUGUAAUACAGUACAAACAAUAUAAUCAGAAACAAUUAGUAUCUACCAUUACAUACACAUUUUGGCAAAGGCCAAAAGUAUCUAGCCACUCUAAAUAAGAGACUAAUUAUAUCUACUUAGCUCCAUGAAAAAGAAGUCUUUGAUCUUCUAAACAACUUGACAUUUUAAGAUAAACAACUUUUAGUCUUUGCUACUGCAUAUACAAAUGCUCCUAGCUGAACUAGUUCAUUCCUCCAGAGAUACUUUGAACUUAAAGCUGUCAGGCGAACACCUCUGCCCAGAAUUGUGAAAUCUAUAACUAUUUACUUUCAUUAAGACAAAAAUGUCUGGGACAGCAGCAUUGAAAUUUGCUUAUAUUUUACAUAAAAUUGGUAUAUUCUGUUUUUUCUGCUCAAAGGUUCCACGCAGUUUCAAAAUACAGUAUUUAGCUUUAUUUUUAGGGUGAAACUUAGAAAUCAGAAUUUAUACAAUCUAAAAACAAAAAAAAAAAAAAAAAUCAAAACUUAGAUUGGCAAACAUCUCCCCGCUUCCAAAUCAUCAGUUAAAGAAUGAAUUAAAUUUCAUUUUUAAUUCAAAUACCUACCUAAAUACAGAGAAAAAUUUCAUUUCUUUAGAAAAUACAGCUUACAAAGACAGUCAUCCCACUUUAAGUUAGAUAAUAUUAUAAUUAACUUAUUUAAGACAGUUGUCUCCAUGACUUAAUUUUCAA